AUACCUUUCUCGGCCUUUUGGCUAAGAUCAAGUGUAGUAUCUGUUCUUAUCAGUUUAAUAUCUGAUAUGUGGGCCAUGUGCUCACUUCGAUAUUAAAUUAAUUUUUUAAGGGGAGGGUCCAUCAUAGUGGCUUGCCACUGGGCCCUUAGGCGUCGCUUGGGCUUUGCACUACUGCCCUAGCCUGGCGCACCCCGC